AGAAUCUCAUUUUGUCAAUAAGGUUUGUAACCUUGGUUGGGGUUUUAAAACCGGUUUCUA
rnacentral:tRNA from 1 species